AGAAUCAACGCUGGCGGCGUGCCUAACACAUGCAAGUCGAACGCGAAAGCCCCGAAAGGGGCAAGUAGAGUGGCAAACGGGUGAGUAACGCGUGGGUGACCUGCCUUCGAGCGGGGGAUAACGUUCCGAAAGGGACGCUAAUACCGCAUAACAUCCUGCCUUUGAAGAGGUGGAGAUCAAAGCUGGGGAUCGCAAGACCUGGCACUUGAAGAGGGGCUCGCGUCUGAUUAGCUAGUUGGUGAGGUAACGGCUCACCAAGGCAACGAUCAGUA
rnacentral:rRNA from 1 species